rnacentral:rRNA from 1 species
UACGAGGGGGGCAAGCGUUGUUCGGAAUUAUUGGGCGUAAAGGGCGCGUAGGCGGUGUCGCAAGUCCGUGGUGAAAUCUCUAGGCUCAACUUAGAGACUGCCGCGGAAACUGCGGUGCUUGAGUGUGGGAGAGGUGCGUGGAAUUCCCGGUGUAGCGGUGAAAUGCGUAGAUAUCGGGAGGAACAUCAGGUAGCGAAGGCGACUUUC